AGAGUUUGAUCCUGGCUCAGAACGAACGCUGGCGGCGUGGAUAAGACAUGCAAGUCGAGCGCUGAUUUCAGGGUAGCAAUAUUCUGAGGUCGGAGCGGCGCAAGGGUGCGUAACACGUGGGUAAUCUGCCAUGAAGUUCGGGAUAACUUGCUGAAAGGCGAGCUAAUACCGGAUGUGACAACUGAGAGACAUCUUUUGGUUGUUAAAGUUGGGGACCGUAAGGCCUGACGCUUCUUGAUGAACCCGCGGCCUAUCAGCUAGUUGGUGAGGUAACGGCCCACCAAGGCUAAGACGGGUAGCUGGUCUGAGAGGACGACCAGCCACACUGGAACUGAGACACGGUCCAGACACCUACGGGUGGCAGCAGUCGAGAAUUUUUCACAAUGGGCGCAAGCCUGAUGGAGCGACGCCGCGUGGGGGAUGAAUGGCUUCGGCCCGUAAACCCCUGUCAUUUGCGAUCAAACGUUAUUAUUUAAAAGAUGAUGACCUGAUAGUAGCGAAAGAGGAAGGGACGGCUAACUCUGUGCCAGCAGCCGCGGUAAUACAGAGGUCCCGAGCGUUGUUCGGAUUCACUGGGCGUAAAGGGUGCGUAGGUGGUGAGGUAAGUCGGAUGUGAAAGCUCGGAGCUCAACUCCGAAAUGGCAUUGGAAACUACCUUGCUCGAGGGUUGGAGGGGGGACUGGAAUACUUGGUGUAGCAGUGAAAUGCGUAGAUAUCAAGUGGAACACCAGUGGCGAAGGCGAGUCCCUGGACAACUCCUGACACUGAGGCACGAAAGCUAGGGGAGCAAACAGGAUUAGAUACCCUAGUAGUCC
rnacentral:rRNA from 1 species